rnacentral:rRNA from 1 species
GAUAAACGCUGGCGGCGUGCUUUAUGCAUGCAAGUCGAACGGGUCUUGCCCUUCGGGGUAAGGCGAGUGGCGGACGGGUGAGUAACACGUACGUAACCUGACCGGACGUGGGGAAUAACUCGCCGAAAGGCGAGCUAAUACCGCAUACGGUCGCCGGUGAGAGACCGGUGGACAAAAGCCUUCGGGCGCGACUGGAGGGGCGUGCGGCCGAUUAGCUAGUUGGUGAGGUAACGGCCCACCAAGGCGANGAUCGGUAGCUGGUCUGAGAGGACGGCCAGCCACACGGGGACUGAGACACGGCCCCGACUCCUACGGGAGGCAGCAGCAAGGAAUCUUGCGCAAUGGGCGAAAGCCUGACGCAGCAACGCCGCGUGGGGAUGAA